rnacentral:rRNA from 1 species
UACGGAGGGUGCAAGCGUUAUCCGGAUUCACUGGGCUUAAAGGGUGCGUAGGCGGCUUUGUAAGUCAGGGGUGAAAUCCUGGAGCUCAACUCCAGAACUGCCUUUGAUACUGAGAAGCUUGAGUUCGGGAGAGGUGAGUGGAACUGCGAGUGUAGAGGUGAAAUUCGUAGAUAUUCGCAAGAACACCAGUGGCGAAGGCGGCUCACUGGCCCGGUACUGACGCUGAGGUGCGAAAGCGUGGGGAGCAAACAGG